GAAGACGGUCACAGUAAUGUGGAAACGCCUGUUCCCAUUCCGAACACAGAAGCUAAGCACACUACGUCCGUUGCAUUAGUCUCCGUCAAGAGGCGAAACUCGGAUGCUGUCUUCU
rnacentral:rRNA from 1 species